rnacentral:rRNA from 1 species
UACGUAGGGGCAAGCGUUGUCCGGAAUUAUUGGGCGUAAAGAGCGUGUAGGCGGUCCGGUAAGUCAGCUGUGAAAGUCAAGGGCUCAACCCUUGAAUGCCGGUUGAUACUGUCGGGCUAGAGUCCGGAAGAGGCGAGUGGAAUUCCCGGUGUAGCGGUGAAAUGCGCAGAUAUCGGGAGGAACACCAAUGGCGAAGGCAGCUCGCUGGGACGGUACUGACGCUGAGACGCGAAAGCGUGGGGAGCAAACAGG